AGUAAAUAAGUGAUUUGCUUUUCAAGUUUAAUCAUACUUACGCGUUUCAUUUUAACUUUAAAGUGAUUGAGGUUGAGGCUUGUACAUUUGCACUAGCAUUAACAAUGAGAAAAUGAGCUGGAUGGAAGGGAUGAUAUAUACGAUAAGUUAUAAUGAGGUUGUCCCUAAUUUUGAGAUGGAAAUAGACUUAUUACUGGAAGAAAAAUACUAUCAGAUUUGGAGAAGUUCUUUUUGGAAAAAGAGGAGUAGAUGAUUCGAUUUGCAAAAAUAUGAAUCUUCAAUUUAGUACAAUUUUCUGUUACUGGCUAGAUGUUAUGAAUAAAAAUGGUGAUGAGGGUUUGUCGCAUUAAAAAAACUUUCACGUUUAGGUCAUAGGAAUCACGAGCGAAGCCUAUCAUUAUUCUGAGAUGGAGUGAUGACCACGCAGUAUGAGUGGCAAAAACGCAUGUCGGUGGCUUGAGCCAACAUAAUCAGAUCGGAGAUGUCAGAAGCCUAAAUACUCACUGCUCCAAUGCAUCUCACCAAUGAUCUGGGAUAUGGAUGUGCAACCUGUGUUGACCCAAGACGAUUCUUCACUCCCAUGAAUUGAGAGGGAUAUUCCUGGGGGAAUAUCCCUGGUAUAGAGUCGCUGCAGAAAAAUCCAGGAACGUUACUCUCUCAAGCUUCAAGAUUUCUAGAGAAGAAUGUCAACAGGCAGGCCAAGUUUGAUGUGAGGUCACCGUAUCCACUACCAAACAGAAUUAUUCAUUCAUUGAAUCUCGUUACGUCAGUCAUCGUGUGGAGAGUGGGCUCAAAUAUGUGACUCCAUCAAUAUCAGCAUCAGUUGAUCAUACAGCAUCUUCACAAGCAGUUCAACUCAUCUGGGGGAAACCAACCUCAGGCAGAAUAAAAAUACGGCGAGUCUGGAAUACAGGUUGGAUAAAAGAGUAAAUGUAUAUAAAAUGGCUAUAAAAUGCCAUACAAUUAAACUGGCCAUUCCAUAAACUUGAUGGCUUGUUGUACCAAAAUAGGAUGAUCGAACAUUUGGAUUCUACAAACUCGCAGAAAAUAUCGUCAGCUAAGAGUUUUGACCGGCUAUCUAUAUUCUUGAGAACAUAUCAAUCAUUAAAGCCCUGCAAACUAGAAAAAAAGGAAUAUUGUAUCUUCUAUGGAAUUCAUGGUCAAACUUUCAUAUACUAUAACUGAAAAAUCUUUAAUAAAUAAGAUUGUUAUCAGAAUAAUUCAAAUUUUGUCCAAAAUUAGAUUUUGGUAUCAUUACUUACUUAUAACCUAUUUCAAAUUUCUGAAAAUUGAAAAGAUUCACAUGAAAAAUCUUUUCUGUAAUUAUUGUAUUUCAAUAUAUUUUGUAAACUUGCAAAUUCAGUUCUUGGGAUUUCCUGUAAAGCUGUGUAAAAUACUCUUAGCUGGCGAUAUUUAAAAUAAUAUGUUGUCAAUCAAUUUUAGUUGUCACAUCAAUAUCAUGCUGUAGUCUACAUUAUUUUUAAUAUUUUAUUCACAUUGAUGAUAAUAUCAUCGAUCAUCUUCCAUCUAAUCGGCAUUGUAGUAAAUUAUUUCAUGUAAGUUCUACUUCUUUCAUUAUUAAUUGAUUAUAAUCAAUAUUCUAUAAAUUUUGAACCAGUUGCUCAAUUAUCAUUAUGAACAGUUUAGCAGCACAAAUGUAAAACAAAUUCCAUUGUUUCAUCAGUUUUGGAGUAGGAACAAUAUUUAGGUAGUGCUGUGCAACGUAGAUUUCUCGGUAAUCGAAUAGUCGGGCUAACAUAUUAAAUAACAGCUUACUGUGGGCUUACAGUAUAAUAAAUAAUUAUGGAUAUGUUUUCGAACGUAGAACAUAUCUUUUUGAAUGUAUUUUACAGCUUUCAAUAGUUCUUUGUCACUUGCUUCCAUGAUUUGUAAACAAAUUCUCAAUAUUUUGUUUGCGGUGGGUGGGGGGGGGAGGUUUCGAACCGUUCCUCAACAAUUUUUGAAGCUGUAUUGGUUUGAGCUACUUUCCCUUACCCUCCCCUCGAUUGCCGCCCUGCUACUGGGAUUUCGACUGUGUUGUUGUGUUGAAUGUCAAUUAUUUGUUUAACCAAAAUCACUUUUAUUCAUCAAUUUUUGUAAACUUAUUAGUAAUACAAGAAUACCCCAACAAAGGGUGAGUAGCCCAGUUUAUUGUGAAAGUGACUAGUGCACUCGACUCACUUUAUGAGAGGGCUGUGUGAGAGCUCCCUGAGCCCUGUUGCAUGAGAAAAAAUCUGGUGUGG